UACGGGGGGGGGCAAGCGUUGUUCGGAAUUACUGGGCGUAAAGGGCUCGUAGGUGGCCAACUAAGUCGGACGUGAAAUCCCUCGGCUUAACCGGGGAACUGCGUCUGAUACUGGAUGGCUUGAGUUCGGGAGAGGGAUGCGGAAUUCCAGGUGUAGCGGUGAAAUGCGUAGAUAUCUGGAGGAACACCGGUGGCGAAGGCGGCAUCCUGGACCGACACUGACGCUGAGGAGCGAAAGCCAGGGGAGCAAACGGAUG
rnacentral:rRNA from 1 species